CUGCCCUCAUCGUCAAGAACAAGUCCAUCUGCAGGCCUAGAUUCGUUGAGACAGAGCUACAGAUGCUAAUAAUGGUGGUGUUAAGAUGAGGAUCCGAGGUUCCCCUCUCCCACGUCAAAUCCCCUUUUUGUAUUGAGCUUGGAAGGAAUAGUACCAUGGCGGCUCGCUGGAGCGACAAGGUUGCCAUGGCUGCUCCUCCGUAUAAAGGUUUUAGUUCCUCAUGCUUGCUUGUUAUCUUCAUGCCAAUCCAUGUGUAUGUUAUAAUGAGUGUUCACUCACACACCCACAAUGUUUUUUGAUCCCUUAGUUUGAUAUUGCUUUGCUCAAGUGCUUAGUGUGUGCUUUGCAGCUUUCAUUAGAAGAGUUGAACAGAGGCAAGGGAUA